GACGAACGCUGGCGGCGUGCCUAAUACAUGCAAGUCGAGCGAGUCUGCCUUGAAGAUCGGAGUGCUUGCACUCUGUGAAACAAGAUACAGGCUAGCGGCGGACGGGUGAGUAACACGUGGGUAACCUGCCCAAGAGAUCGGGAUAACACCUGGAAACAGAUGCUAAUACCGGAUAACAACAGAUGAUGCCUAUCAACUGUUUAAAAGAUGGUUCUGCUAUCACUCUUGGAUGGACCUGCGGUGCAUUAGCUAGUUGGUAGGGUAACGGCCUACCAAGGCGAUGAUGCAUAGCCGAGUUGAGAGACUGAUCGGCCACAUUGGGACUGAGACACGGUCCAAACUCCUACGGGAGGCAGCAGUAGGGAAUCUUCCACAAUGGACGCAAGUCUGAUGGAGCAACGCCGCGUGAGUGAAGAAGGGUUUCGGCUCGUAAAGCUCUGUUGUUGGUGAAGAAGGACAGGGGUAGUAACUGACCUUUGUUUGACGGUAAUCAAUGAGAAAGUCACGGCUAACUACGUG
rnacentral:rRNA from 1 species